AGUAUCCUUGAGAGCAAGAAGGAAUUAGACUUGAAGAGACACACAGACAUCUAAAACAUCGUCAUCAUGCUGGUCGUUCUCGGUGGGAUCUUCGUCCUUCACAUCGCAGCCAUCAUCCUCCUCCUGGUGGCCACCAUUGACAAUGCCUGGUGGGUAACUGAUGACAUGUAUACUGAUAUCUGGGCUCGCUGGGUGAACAUAAACGGAGUGUGGAACUACACCGAGCUCCCAACAGACACAUUCUACCCAACA